CUGCAGUGCGGGUCUACCAUGCAGUCGAACGGUGAAGCAGGAGCUUGCUCUUGUGGAUCAGUGGCGAACGGGUGAGUAACACGUGAGCAACCUGCCCCUGACUCUGGGAUAAGCGCUGGAAACGGCGUCUAAUACUGGAUAUGAACCGGAGCCGCAUGGUUACUGGUUGGAAAGAUUUUUCGGUUGGGGAUGGGCUCGCGGCCUAUCAGCUUGUUGGUGAGGUAAUGGCUCACCAAGGCGUCGACGGGUAGCCGGCCUGAGAGGGUGACCGGCCACACUGGGACUGAGACACGGCCCAGACUCCUACGGGAGGCAGCAGUGGGGAAUAUUGCACAAUGGGCGGAAGCCUGAUGCAGCAACGCCGCGUGAGGGAUGACGGCCUUCGGGUUGUAAACCUCUUUUAGCAGGGAAGAAGCGAAAGUGACGGUACCUGCAGAAAAAGCGCCGGCUAACUACGUGCCAGCAGCCGCGGUAAUACGUAGGGCGCAAGCGUUAUCCGGAAUUAUUGGGCGUAAAGAGCUCGUAGGCGGUUUGUCGCGUCUGCUGUGAAAUCCCGAGGCUCAACCUCGGGCCUGCAGUGGGUACGGGCAGACUAGAGUGCGGUAGGGGAGAUUGGAAUUCCUGGUGUAGCGGUGGAAUGCGCAGAUAUCAGGAGGAACACCGAUGGCGAAGGCAGAUCUCUGGGCCGUAACUGACGCUGAGGAGCGAAAGGGUGGGGAGCAAACAGGCUUAGAUACCCUGGUAGUCCACCCCGUAAACGUUGGGAACUAGUUGUGGGGUCCAUUCCACGGAUUCCGUGACGCAGCUAACGCAUUAAGUUCCCCGCCUGGGGAGUACGGCCGCAAGGCUAAAACUCAAAGGAAUUGACGGGGACCCGCACAAGCGGCGGAGCAUGCGGAUUAAUUCGAUGCAACGCGAAGAACCUUACCAAGGCUUGACAUAUACGAGAACGGGGCCAGAAAUGGUUCAACUCUUUGGGACACUCGUAAACAGUGGUUGC
rnacentral:rRNA from 1 species